CAUACACAACACGAGGAAAUGUGAAGCCGUGAGCAGUGAUAAGUUAUCGCUAUUGGUAUUUGUGUCUUACUGCCAUCACACACACACACACACACACACACACACACACACACACACACACACACACACACACACACACACACACACACACACACACCGCCCCGCCACAGCCAAAAGGUCACGAUAGCAGACGAGGUUCGGUCAAGGCCAUGGGCUAGGUUGCAUUAGAUUAGGUCAAUGUUAUGAGUUAGAUUAGGUUAGGUCAAGGCCAUGGGUUAGGUUAGGUCAAGGCCAUGGAUUAGGUAAGGUCAAGGCCAUGGGUUAAGCUAGGUCAAGGCCAUGGGUUAGGUUAGGUCAAGGCCAUGGCUUAGGUUAGGUUACUGCACAAAACUGGAGCUAAAAUAUUCUUUUUUUUUUUACCCAACUGAUACUAGUUGGAAAUUGUAUAUGAUUCCGUCUCUCUCUCUCUCUCUCUCUCUCUCUCUCUCUCUC